AAAAUGCUAUGAUGAGUCAUGAAAUGUACAACGCAUGUCAGACUUCAGAGAUGCCACAUCAUGCAUGAGAAGAUAUUUCAUAUUCUGAGAUAUUUU